rnacentral:rRNA from 1 species
GACGAACGCUGGCGGCGUGCUUAACACAUGCAAGUCGAACGGAAAGGCCCUGCUUUUGUGGGGUGCUCGAGUGGCGAACGGGUGAGUAACACGUGAGUAACCUGCCCUUGACUUUGGGAUAACUUCAGGAAACUGGGGCUAAUACCGGAUAGGAGCUCCUGCUGCAUGGUGGGGGUUGGAAAGUUUCGGCGGUUGGGGAUGGACUCGCGGCUUAUCAGCUUGUUGGUGGGGUAGUGGCUUACCAAGGCUUUGACGGGUAGCCGGCCUGAGAGGGUGACCGGCCACAUUGGGACUGAGAUACGGACCAGACUCCUACGGGAGGCAGCAGUGGGGAAUAUUGCACAAUGGGCGGAAGCCUGAUGCAGCAACGCCGCGUGCGGGAUGACGGCCUUCUGGUUGUAAACCGCUUUCGCCUGUGACGAAGCGUGAGUGACGGUAAUGGGUAAAGAAGCACCGGCUAACUACGUG